AUUGAACGCAGGCGGCAUGCCUUACACAUGCAAGUCGAACGGUAACGGGCCUUCGGGUGCCGACGAGUGGCGAACGGGUGAGUAAUGUAUCGGAACGUACCUUUCAGUGGGGGAUAACGUAGCGAAAGUUACGCUAAUAACGCAUAGUCUGUGAGCAGGAAAGCAGGGGAUCGCAAGACCUUGCGCUGAUUGAGCGGCCGAUAACAGAUUAGCUAGUUGGUGAGGUAAGGGCUCACCAAGGCGACGAUCUGUAGCGGGUCUGAGAGGAUGAUCCGCCACAAUGGACCUGAGACACGGUCCAGACACCUACGGGAGGCAGCAGUGGGGAAUUUUGGACAAUGGGGGCAACCCUGAUCCAGCCAUGCCGCGUGAGUGAAGAAGGCCUUCGGGUUGUAAAGCUCUUUCGGCCGGGAAGAAAUCGUAUCAGCUAAUACCUGGUGCGGAUGACGGUACCGGCAUAAGAAGCACCGGCUAACUACGUGCCAGCCGCCGCGGUAACAC
rnacentral:rRNA from 1 species